CCUACGGGCGGCUGCAGUGGGGAAUAUUGGACAAUGGGCGAAAGCCUGAUCCAGCCAUGCCGCGUGUGUGAAGAAGGCCUUCGGGUUGUAAAGCACUUUCAGUGGGGAAGAAAGCCUUGGGGCUAAUGCCCUCGAGGAAGGACAUCACCCACAGAAGAAGCACCGGCUAACUCCGUGCCAGCAGCCGCGGUAAUACGGAGGGUGCGAGCGUUAAUCGGAAUUACUGGGCGUAAAGCGCGCGUAGGCGGUCUGAUAAGCCGGUUGUGAAAGCCCCGGGCUCAACCUGGGAACGGCAUCCGGAACUGUCAGGCUAGAGUGCAGGAGAGGAAGGUAGAAUUCCCGGUGUAGCGGUGAAAUGCGUAGAGAUCGGGAGGAAUACCAGUGGCGAAGGCGGCCUUCUGGACUGACACUGACGCUGAGGUGCGAAAGCGUGGGUAGCAAACAGGAUUAGAUACCCCAGUAGUC
rnacentral:rRNA from 1 species